rnacentral:rRNA from 1 species
GACGAACGCUGGCGGCGUGCUUAACACAUGCCAGUCGAACGGACAGGCCCUGCUUUUGUGGGGUGCUCGAGUGGCGAACGGGUGAGUAACACGUGAGUAACCUGCCCUUGACCUUGGGAUAACUUCAGGAAACUGGGGCUAAUACCGGAUAGGAGCUCCUGCUGCAUGGUGGGGGUUGGAAAGUUUCGGCGGUUGGGGAUGGACUCGCGGCUUAUCAGCUUGUUGGUGGGGUAGUGGCUUACCAAGGCUUUGACGGGUAGCCGGCCUGAGAGGGUGAACGGCCACAUUGGGACUGAGAUACGGCCCAGACUCCUACGGGAGGCAGCAGUGGGGAAUAUUGCACAAUGGGCGGAAGCCUGAUGCAGCAACGCCGCGUGCGGGAUGACGGCCUUCGGGUUGUAAACCGCUUUCGCCUGUGACGAAGCGUGAGUGACGGUAAUGGGUAAAGAAGCACCGGCUAACUACGUG